CGGGAAGUGGCUCAGCUUGGUAGAGCACCUGGUU
rnacentral:sRNA from 1 species